AAUGGGCGCAAGCUUGAUCUAGCCAUGCCGCGUGAGUGAUGAAGGCCUUAGGGUCGUAAAGCUCUUUCGCCAGGGAUGAUAAUGACAGUACCUGGUAAAGAAACCCCGGCUAACUCCGUGCCAGCAGCCGCGGUAAUACGGAGGGGGUCAGCGUUGUUCGGAAUUACUGGGCGUAAAGCGCGCGUAGGCGGACUAUUAAGUCAGGGGUGAAAUCCCGGGGCUCAACCCCGGAACUGCCCUUGAUACUGGUAGUCUUGAGUUCGAGAGAGGUGAGUGGAAUUCCGAGUGUAGAGGUGAAAUUCGUAGAUAUUCGGAGGAACACCAGUGGCGAAGGCGGCUCACUGGCUCGAUACUGACGCUGAGGUGCGAAAGUGUGGGGAGCAAACAGGAUU
rnacentral:rRNA from 1 species